UCGUACUUUAGCAUUCGCGUUGAGCGGUAGACGGUGCGCUGGUGAACUGAAAAGCGCAACACGGUAGAAAGUAGCUAACCGCUAAAGCAAGCAAAUGAACAAGAAGAAGAAAAUGUUGUGUGUUUGCAACUGAGUGACAGAAAACGAAGAAGAAUAAGAGAACGCAACAAAAGUGCCGGUGUUUCCCCAACUCCAAAUAUCAACACUCCACACUAAAGUUACUACGCUGAAUUUUUAACUUCAUUUUUUAUUUAAUUUCCGGUCGCACGUUCGCCACUCAUCUGGAGGCGGUUUGAAGUGGACGUUGUAACAAACGCGUAAAUAGUCGGUGCGCGUGUGAGUUUUGUAUAUACGCGUCGCGUCGUGCCGCUCCCGCAAGCCUGCCUAUUCAGCGGUUUCACUUACUGACGUGUAUUCUUCGCAACACUGCUGCUGUCAGUGUUAGCAUUGGUAAAUCAUUGUGUACGCGGUGUGUUUUCAAAAUCCCAUUACAAUAACAAACAAUCAACGGCUUAACUCAAAAUAAUACAAAAGUGUGAAUAAAAAGUAACAGCGAACGCUGGACGCGCAUCCAACCUUGGUGUCCUUAAGUCAUACAUAUUGCAAUUAAACGAAGCGAAAAAUUUAAUCCUCUUAAAGUGUUUUUGCUCAACUUAAAGUAUUAUUGUAAAAAGUACCGAUAUAAGUGUAUAUACGUAGUCAUUAGGUAAAACGCAUACGUGAAGCGCUGCGCUGUAAUCAGAAUCCGCGUUGCCGAACAAGUGCCUUGUAACUAUACCUGUCCGAAAGUGUAGCCAACAAAGCGCGCUGCUAUCACGCGAGCAUAUUAAAGAGUUGUCAAGCGCGCACACCAUUACUAACACAAAAACUGCAAUACAAACCAAUCCCACUAACUAACUUCUGACUAGCGACGCGCAGGAAUCCGCAUAAAGCGCGCGUCUUCAUUACCAACGCGCAACCGUGUUACGCGUAAGCCAACUGGCGGAGGCGUCGCUGCUCGCGCCUCAUUAUAGUGUCAUAAAAAGUUUCUGUUGUCAUACUGUUACUGUGGUUUUAACAACAACAAUAACAAAAGUAAUAACAAAUGCGCGAAGCAAGAAAACGACGCCGCGCGCUAACUAUAGUAUAUUAUUAAAAGGAUUAGAAGAGUGCUGAAAGUCUGCGCGCAUAAUGCUUUGGUCGCGCGGCAUGCAAAAGGACACUAACAAGCAGCGAAUGCCUUUGUUCCAACCAACUUCGUUGAAUUUGUACAAUUGUGUUUGUUGAAUGCGUCGCACUAGAAACACAGGCGUCGGGCGCUACCCAAAGGCGCGUUAUUAAGGCUAGUUGAAAUAUUAUCCUUUGCUGAAAUGCUGAAAUUGCAAAAUCACCGGGAUAAGUGCGCUUAAGCGAAAGCGAUAUUAUAAUAACAACUACACAAAAGGUGUCGCACAAAUAAAGGUGAAAGGGUAGAUUGUUACAGCGGAAAAGGGCCAAAUUCAAGAACCCUAACCAACGAAGGGUAUGUCAAGUACAUAUGUGACAACAAAAAAUAUAACGGUAUUUGUCGGUAUGUAAAUGCCAUACACGCGCCGCUCAUAAAAGACAUAAAAAAUAAUAACCAAAAAACUGUCGAAAAUUAAAGCCGCUAAGAAAAGAGUAGAAAAAUCACAGCUAAAACACUAAGGACACAUACUAAAAAAUAAAAAUAUAAAAUCAGAAGACCGAAAACCGAAAAAAGGCGUUAUAAAAAAUUGAAAACGUUCAAGUUUGAAAGACACGUCGCAACAGCAACAACAACAACAAAUACGACCUGUAUGCUUCCGCAUGCUUAUCUGACGACACAGAAAUGGCAGCUGACGACUGUUGCCUGGCCGAUGCGACGACUGACAACUAAAUAAGUACAACAACACUAGCAAACAAAACACAAACUGUUGUACCUACAGCAACCACUUACACCCGCUCCUCCUAUCCCAGUGUCUGCUGCGCGGCAGCUUGUCCACGUAACACAGCUGCGAUUGCAACAACAAGAAAAGCAACAACUGCAGUAACUGCAAUAAAUAGCAAACCAGAACACAUUGAGCCGCAUUAAACCGCACGACGACCGACGCCGUCCACACCACAGACACUGGCGUUGCAUACGUUGAGGCGCACACGAGCACAUGAAGCGGCAGUGCAAUCACAGCUCGAUACGGCUGUUGAUUGUGUUCGCUUUUGGCGAAAGUGCUGGUCAACGACCAACAAGCAACUCAGCCAGAAAACAACAACAACAAUAACAGCUAGACGUGCACAGAAGUGACAGUAGAAGACAAACAAAAAAAUAAACACGAAAUUAAAAGUGCGAAAGAAUCAAAUCACAGUCCUUAGGCAAUACGAGGCGCAUUGAAAUUGCCAUCGACUGUGCUACAGCCAGUGUGUGUGUUGGUGUAAACGCUGUUCUUGUUGACUUCUUUUUUUUGCGUACAGUCACUGAACUCAGUUGUCCUUCGUAGUCGCCAUCUCCACGUGUAUGUGCUGCUGCGCCGAAAAGCGUACAACAAGCAGCGCGCUCUCCAACGCCUACAACAGUAGCGACAAAUGGCACCGCACCACUGGAUAAUAGCCAGCAAAACGAGUCGACAAAAACGGCAUUGAAAAACGCGAAAAGCAAACAAAACAACGCAAAUAACCAUCCGUUGGCGUUUUCUACUUUUUCGCAAUUCUCUUCAAUUUUUAUUGGCUCACUCUCUUUCGUCGCUUUUAAAUUGACUUUGGCACAUAAUUCGCACACACCCAGAGCAUACGUUUGCGGGAUCUCCUCUACAUACCUUUCAGUCAGCCUCCUCCAGCCGUUGUCUGCUUUAAUUGAGUUGACUACUCGUACGAAGCACAAAGCACAGCAGCGCCCUCCCACGCCAACAAUCAGCAGCCAGUCGAAGUAUCAUAGAGAUGGCGUCAAAAUUUUGGUUGAAUGUUUGGUGUGCGCUGGUCGGCUGGUUUCCGCUGGUUGCGAACGGUUACCUGAAUGUCUUCAUUAGCCAUCGCGAAGUCAUCAAAUUGAUGGGCUUGGAAGCGGACUUGUUCUAUGUGCAUGAGGGCGCUAUCAACACAUACGCCAUGCAUUUCACGGUGCCGGUGCCAGCAGAUGUGCAUGAUUUAGAGUUUUCAUGGCAGAGUUUGACCACAUAUCCGCUGCCCUACACCAUUACUAUCGACUAUGAGCACGAGCAGAGCGCUUUGGCCGCGCCCACACUCAGCAUACCCGACAAAGGCUAUGUGCCGCAGCAGAUUGAGACAUUUCUGGUGCAUCUGCCGUGCACGGGGAACGGUAAUAAGGAGGUGCCGCUUGUCGUCAAUAUGCUUGUGAGCGGCCCGCCCCGCACUAAUGACACCAAAUUGCAUUUUAAACGGAAUAAAAUCUGCCUCAAAGGCUUAUUUCCCGUUCCGAAUCAAUCAGCGGCACCCGCACAGGCGCCGUCAUCGGGUCACGCGUUGCUGGGUACCGCUACUUGUGCGCUCGGUUUGGUGCUGGUCGUCGGCUUGAUUGCGUCAGCCAUGUAUGUGCGCGCACGCAAGCAAAUACGCCAGGACUCGUUGCACACCAGCUUUACUACUGCCGCUUAUGGCAGCCAUCAAAACGUUUUCAUACGCCUAGAUCCGUUGGGGCGUCCGCCCAGCGCGAACAGUGGUUCCUAUGCGACUAUCGCUAGCCUGAAUAAUUACCCAUCGGAGUCGAAGAAGUCUUGCAACAUUUUUGACAGAUUUCGCAGCUCCACGCCGACACCCUCACCCUACGCCACCGCCUUACUGCCCCUGGGCGGCGAUCAGAUCGGCGAUACAAUUUACUCCAAACCAGAGUCGAUCUGUCCCUCGCGAAUAUCCUAUUACGCGUCGUCGCAGCUAACACAGGUCGACCGAAUGUCCACACCGAAGAGCAGUCGCGGCGGUGGCGAUGGCAGCGUUCAUUUCCGUGGCGCCAGCUCCUCCGCCGGCAGGGGUAGUGAUCCCAAGGAGACUAUUUCCAGGCAUAUCCUCACUGGGCGUGGUUCUAGGUAUGGGACGCAGGCCCACCGCCACUUUGCUUACACAUCUGGACACGAAUGAAUUCGAAUUGACCACAAAACAUUGCAGCGACGCUCCAUGCAUCUCCAAGAGCGUAUUGAAUCUGCGCGGCAUAACUUGUCGAGACAAAGGCGAUCAAAUUGUAGUGCCGCUGCACAAUGCGUCACGCCAAAAACGUUAGCGACACGCACAAGAAAGUUGGAUGGCAACAUUGACGAACGUAUGGAUAGCGUCGACUGCCCAAAUGAAUCCGAGUCCGCUGCAAUGGCGGCUGUAAUGGCGGUUCCUAGCCAUGCGAAAGCCCCACCUACGUAACGAAUACAUUUUAUAAAUUUCCCGAGAUCGCGAACGCAAACGCGUUUGCAACGCCCACAGACGAUACCACAAAUCCGAUACCGCUGGCAACGCGCGAGAGCAAGAAGUACAUUAAAACGAAUGUGCGGAUAUUGAAGAACUCCUUCGCCACAGCCAUACUGGUGAACAACAUUUUCCGAUGUCUCUGCACGCUGCUGAGGUACAAGUUCGCACAGUGCAAUUCUCACACUACAUUUCAACGUCCUUGAAGCGCGGUCUCAAGUCUCUCCCGAAUCUAGUGAAGACUUCAGUUACCAAUUUCAUUUUUCACCGAGGCGCCGCUGCCGGUGGAUAUUAACCGCGAUCCGGAUUUUCCUACACAUAUUGUCGAUUUGAUGUUUAAUGUGGGCGAACUAUAUACAAAGUUGGAAAGUGCUGUAUUUGAGAUUGUAUUAGAUGGUUGUUCGUAGAAUGGAAUUA